UCCAGGGUAGCCUAGUGAACAUAGCACAUGCUUGGUAAGCGGAACACUAUGGGUUCGAUUCCCAUCCCUGGAU
rnacentral:tRNA from 1 species